rnacentral:rRNA from 1 species
GUGUCAGCCGCCGCGGUAAUACGUAGGGUGCAAGCGUUAAUUGGAAUUACUGGGCGUAAAGCGUGCGCAGGCGGUUAUAUAAGUCAGAUGUGAAAUCCCCGGGCUCAACCUGGGAACUACAUUUGAGACUGUAUAGCUAGAGUACGGUAGAGGGGGAUGGAAUUCCGCGUGUAGCAGUGAAAUGCGUAGAUAUGCGGAGGAACACCGGUGGCGAAGGCAAUCCCCCGGACCUGUACUGACGCUCAUGCACGAAAGCGUGGGGAGCGAACAGGAUUAGAAACCCGCGUAGUCC